UACGUAGGGGGCAAGCGUUGUCCGGAAUUAUUGGGCGUAAAGAGCUCGUAGGCGGUUUGUCGCGUCGGCCGUGAAAUCUCCACGCUUAACGUGGAGCGUGCGGUCGAUACGGGCAGACUUGAGUUCGGCAGGGGAGACUGGAAUUCCUGGUGUAGCGGUGAAAUGCGCAGAUAUCAGGAGGAACACCGGUGGCGAAGGCGGGUCUCUGGGCCGAUACUGACGCUGAGGAGCGAAAGCGUGGGGAGCGAACAGG
rnacentral:rRNA from 1 species